rnacentral:rRNA from 1 species
GGACUACUGGGGUUUCUAAUCCUGUUUGCUCCCCUAGCUUUCGCAGCUCAGCGUCAGUAAUGGACCAGGUGCCUGCUUUCGCCAUAGGUGUUCCUCCCGAUCUCUACGCAUUUCACCGCUACACCGGGAAUUCCAGCACCCUCUCCCACACUCAAGUCCGGCAGUAUCUACUGACCUCUCCCGGUUAAGCCGGGAGCUUUCACAGUAGACUUACCGAACCGCCUACCUGCCCUUUACGCCUAGUAAUUCCGAGUAACGCUUGCCACCUUCGUCUUACCGCGGCUGCUGGCAC